CCUUCCCAACCUCUCCAUGGCUUCUCCUCUUCCGUUUCUUUUGUUUUUCUCCUUUGGCCUUUCUCUUAACUGCAUCCUUAUUCAGCAGGCAUAAUGCUGAACGCUGCGAUGCUGGAGCACAAGACCAUAAGCUAUCCGCCCUGUACUCAGUACCUGCCUGGGAUCUGUGCCUCUGAGAACAUCUUGCUGUCCUAUGGGCGAGAACUGAUGCAGUAUUGGCUUUGAACUUUCCACUGCAUCCCGGCCUGUGCGCGCUGAAAUUGAAGAAAGUGAACUGCACAUCUGGAUUCCUCUCUCCACCUCUGGAUGGUGUGGGCCAGCCCCCUUGUAGGCCUGCUACUACAGUAGACUGAAUCCCUACUCAUGAGAAAACCUCUUCCCUAAGGGAGCUGCUUUGUCCAGACAUUUGGUCCCAGCAAAGUAACUAAUAUAGAGUUAACUCCCCAUUCAUAAGGGAUUAUCCAGGUGAGAGAAACUUGGUUCAAUACUGCUAUGUAGAAGUGGUACCUAGGAGGGUGGUCAGAAUUAAAUAAA
rnacentral:lncRNA from 1 species